rnacentral:rRNA from 1 species
AACGAACGCUGGCGGCAGGCUUAACACAUGCAAGUCGAACGCAUCCUUCGGGGUGAAUGGCAGACGGGUGAGUAACGCGUGGGAACGUGCCCUUCAGUUCGGGAUAACCCAGGGAAACUUGGGCUAAUACCGGAUAUAAUCUUAGGAUGAAAGCUGGGGCCCGCAAGGCCGGGCGCUUUAGGAGUAGCCUGCGUCUGAUUAGCUAGUGGGUGUGGUAAGGGCGCACCAAGGCGACCAGCGGUAGCUGGUCUGAGAGGAUGGACAGCCACACUGGGACUGAGACACGGCCCAGACUCCUACGGGAGGCAGCAGUGGGGAAUAUUGGACAAUGGGGGCAACCCUGAUCCAGCAAUUCCGCGUGAGUGAAGAAGGCCUUCGGGUUGUAAAGCUCUUUUGUCAGGGAAGAAACACCGGCUCUAACACAGUCUGGGAAUGACGGUACCUGAAGAAUAAGCACCGGCUAA